CGCAGUGAAGGUGGCCCAGUCCCAACCCCAAGCACAGCCCUGGUGGGGGUUCACCCCUGGGGCCCUGGUGUUGCCAGAGCGGGGGCCCUGCUGAACCAAGGCCUGGGUCAUCAUGCCUCAGCCUGAGGCUUAGGGCUGUCGGGCAAACGGCUGGAUCUUGGGCGUGAGAGGAGGCAGAGCCAUGGCAGCUCAUCUCAGACGUGUGGGAUCUGUGCUUGGGGUUCCCCAAAUAGGUCUGCCUCGGGCAGGCAGCCUCCCACGGGCAGGGGUGGGGUGGUCCCUGGCAGUUCGAGGAUCUGUUCAGAUGGCCCUGCCUGUUUGCCAUUUUCCCCUCUGUUUGUGCUCAGGCCCCUGCCAGAGCCGAUCCCCCGAGCCCAGCAGGCGCCCUGCCGUCCCCGUCCCCAUCCCCAUGCCGUUCCCGGCCGGCUGCGUGCAGCAGCCAUCUUGUCUUCCUGCCCAGAAACGUGAAAUGGUUUCUCCUCGAUCCAGAGGAGAGCCUUCCCCUCGCAGGCUGCCUGCCGGGGGCUGUCUGCAGCCAGCCUUAGAUCCUGUCCCUAGGUGGCCACAGAUUCUUGCAAAACCAGGUGACUUCCUUUUGCUUGCUUUUCCCAUCUCUGCUUUCACCAGUGGCAUUUUCCGUGGCACCCACUCACCUGCCGCAGUGCCCGCCAUCCCCCGCGGACCCGUCCUCCCCUUCACCAGCGGGGUCCUCAAAGCCACCCCUGCCCCCUUGGGCCCAGCUCCCAUGGGCUUCAUCCCCCCUUUAUGCUCCUUUAGUUGUUGUUUUUUGUCUGUAAAUCUCACAUCACCUAUUAGAUUGUGAGCUCACACGUAGCCAGUGGGUGCCUCCUGCCUGCUGGGUCCCCCAUCCAGCUCUCUCACAGCGGUCAUUUCAUUUAUUCCUCACCCCAACCCUGCGGGGAGCACCCGUGGCUGGUAAGUGUUCUGAUCAUGGUUCGAACCCUGGUCUCUCAAAGCCUUUGUGGUUUUUUUUCCUCUCUCCAUCCUCUGUGUCUGCAAAAUGCCUUUGAACGACGAGGUAGGUCCCCCCAACGUGACUAUUUAAGGAAUUUUGUAAGCUCCUAAUCCUAAUGCGUGGUGGGACUUGGGGUGGCCGGUCCUUUUGCACCUACGGCCUGGGUCCCUUAGCUGGCCCAUACCACCCUCAUUGACUUCAUCCUCUUCGGUUGUGGCCGGUUUCAUUCAGGAGGCCGGCUUCUUGUUUUGUAGCUGACAUGGAUGCAUUGACAAACCUCAAUGAUCCUGGAAGAGGAUGAGGAGAUUGGGUGGGGUAUGGUGUCUUCUGAGCAGAAAGCAGCUCCAGAACCCAGAAGGGAGUGGAGAGCGUGGGAGGCAGGGAGCAGGGACAUGGAUUGCUCUUGGACAGACGGAGGUUUGCGUCUGGACCCUGCCUCGUCUUCACCGGGUGGUUUUAGACAAAUGACUUGAUCUUCCUAAGUCUCCGUGUCCUCAGUCAGGGAGAUGGAGCCACUGUGACUACACAGAAAUGCCUGAUACCUUGCCAAGCAAAUAGGUUCCCGACCGGAAGUGUGGCUCCCUUGCCCCUACCCAGUAGGUUUGCAGGGACGCGAGGAAGGAACACAGCAGUUGGCUGGGCUCGAGAAGAAAUGGGGGCGAGGGGAGCUUGCGUGCCUUCAGGGACAGCAGAAGCAGAGGGCAGGGGUGGGGGGGAGAAGGUCCCCAGGCAGCAGGCACCUGAAGCCUGCCAGGCCGUGCCCUUCCCCACCCAGAGUAAAUGCCCCUCCACCGUCUGCCUCCGAGCGAGGCCACGGGAACGGAGCCGGAGGACCGGUGGUGGCAGAGGAAGGGUUAACCGGGGCGCCUUCCUGGGAGCCUCUGGAUGCCAGGUUAGUUUCCCUCCCCUCCUCGCAGCCGUGGCUGCCUGCUUCCUGCCACGCAUCCAUGGGAGGGGAGCUGGGCACCCCGAGGCCCCUCGUCACCAAUUCUGGGGCUGCAGAGCAGAGAGUGACGACAGCCAUGAGUCGCCAGCCGACGGCAGUGGGGACCCUGGUGACGGCUGCUCUGUUGUUUUUUUCCUCUCUGGAUGAUGACUCAGUGCGCUGGGAGCAGGAAGAUGGAGCGCUCAGCUGAAUGGCCAGGACAUUCUGUCAGCGUGAAAGCAGACACAGCUUGUCGGGGCUGGGAGCUGACCCCGCGGCGGCCACCAGGGUCGUUUUCAACACGGGCUGGGCAGCAAGAAGCCCACCGCUGGGUAUCGGGGCCGGGGGGAGCCCCGGGGACUCACCAGGGUUCUGUGGGCCCUCGCUGCUUAGAAUCGGAAAAGAACACGCAGCUGUUUGUAUUUUUAGAUGAACUUGACAAACAGGGUCGCUUCUUGAGCUCCUCUCAUGAGUCCCAAAUGGGAGACAUCUUGCCAGGGCCCCUUGGGGAUGCCUCCCUGUGGCUCGUUGCCUUGGACAGAAGGUGGGGGUCUCUUCUUGGGGUGGGGGCCGGGCUAGCAGGAGCGCUCCGGGACCCCACGAACAAAUGCCCAUCGUGGGGAUGUGGCAUCUUAGGUUUUCUCAGCUGGCAUCAUGUGAAGAUGGUGGAGACACAUGCCUGGCCUUAAGCUGAAGCUCAGCUCUUGGGUAGCCUGCUCGGGCCUCCCCCUUUCCUGCCUUCCCAAAUCAAAGCUUAUCUCCCCCCACCCCCCACCCCUUCAUCUGCCUCCCUCCCUUCUCAGGGAAAACUGUAGACCUUGAGUUCCUGACCUGAAAGGUGGCGGGGGGUGUCAUGGCGGCUCAGGGUUCUAGGCUUUUCCUGAAUCUGCCGCAUUGCGCUGAGUGCAUGUGACCUUCCCCCAGGCCCCGCCCGCCCGCCGGCCCCGCCCCACCAUCCCUGCUUGGGAGGAAGAGAACACGGAGCUCCAUUGCCGCUGAAUGGUGGCCAAACCAUUAUCCCCAGCAUCUGGCUUCGCUUGCUCUCCUCCCCCUUUCCGUGUCGCAGGGCAGGGGAGCAGACAACCUGUGGGUGGGGACGGAGGGGCAGCCUGGCCCGGAGCUCCCGGCCUCCUGUCCCUGUGUCCCCCUUGCUCAGUCUCACGCUUUCCCACAGGCGAUGCUGGCACCCCCUCCCUUCCCCAGAGACCUCGGGCGGGACUCACAGGGGGACCUCUGGAAGGAGUGGCUGUGGGGCCUUGGGAUGCUGAGGGAGCAGGGAGACCUGACCGAGGUCACAGCGGACAGUUGGUCAGAGCGAUGGAGAACUCAAGAGGAGUUGAGCUCCGUGAGUGACAACUUUGUGGAGACUCUGCCCAGCUGAGGAUGGUGCUGGUUGCAGAAGACAGCGGCCAUACUGUGGGGUCAUGUGCACCCGUUGCAUUUAUUUGUCACCCCCCAAAAAGAGACAGAUGCGUGGCAGCCUGGCUCCGUGCAAUGCGGAUGGAUACAAAGGUCAUAUGGAUGAGGGUACUGAUGGAGGAGGGGCUGACAGCCUCGAUGGAUUUGGACUUCGGACGAGGAGAGACCAGGCCCUGGAUGUGGCUGAAGGCACAGCGUGACCCGUGGCGAAGACCAGCCUCUGGUGCUGUUGAGC